UUUUUGGAGAGUUUGAUCCUGGCUCAGGACGAACGCUGGCGGCGUGCCUAAUACAUGCAAGUCGAGCGGAUGAAAAGGAGCUUGCUCCUUUGAA
rnacentral:rRNA from 1 species